rnacentral:rRNA from 1 species
UCCUACAGCCACACUGGAUUAAAUGUGCCUGAACCCGUUCAGUCCUGGAAUCUAAGUAGUCCUGGACCUGGCUAGUACUUGGAUGUGAGAUAACCUGGGAAUCUUGGGUGCCGUAGGCU